GUGGCAUAUCAAGAUGCUGAUUCGACGGCAUGAUUAUUGCACAGUGUGACAGACCCAUCUGUCUUUGAAAUACUUUUAUUCCUCCUUGGUUCGUCUGUUUGUUCGUCUAAUUGACUGUCCGUACAGCCGUUUCGUUUAUUUACCCUUUUCCUGAAUGAACUGCCGAACGGCCGGCCACUCAGCAUGGAAGUGUGCUGCUGGUUAACCUCUUG